rnacentral:rRNA from 1 species
UACGGAGGGAGCUAGCGUUGUUCGGAAUUACUGGGCGUAAAGCGCGCGUUAGGCGGUUACUCAAGUCAGAGGUGAAAGCCCGGGGCUCAACCCCGGAACUGCCUUUGAAACUAGGUAACUAGAAUCUUGGAGAGGUCAGUGGAAUUCCGAGUGUAGAGGUGAAAUUCGUAGAUAUUCGGAAGAACACCAGUGGCGAAGGCGACUGACUGGACAAGUAUUGACGACGUGAGGUAG